UAUCUAUUCCUGAAAUCCAUAAUGAUGAAAAUUACUAUAAUUGCAGUAAUUUUGCUACAGGCAUCUCUCAGCCAUUGUAUACGUAGAGACUUCAAAGAUUGCAUACCCGGACCUACGCAAACUUAUGUUAACUGUACCAAUGGAAGCAUAACAGUACAGCACGGAAGAAUUGAAGGCACGCCACCGCCGGUUUGCCAAGGGCUCUAUUGUUGGAAUGGAACCUUGACACC